rnacentral:lncRNA from 1 species
GAAAUACUUGAAGGAAACUUUGAGGCAUGAAGCAGCUGUAGGCAGCUGGAGAGCAAGGUCACGGGGGGAGAGCUCCUUCGUUAUGGCUUUUCACAGAAGACUGGACAAACAUCAAGAGAAGAGAUGUGCCAUCACUAAUAACUUCAUCACCUGCCCGAGAGGCAUCGUCUUUGCCGUGUGGAUUAGAGGCUGAAAUGCAGCAUGGACUAAAUGACUUGCCCAAGGUCACGGAGGAAAUCGGUGCCUGAGCCAAGAACUUCAAAACCAGUAUUUCUGAAUCAUGACUGACAUCUUGGUGCCAGCCAGGGUUUGGUUAAGGUGGGGUCCUUGGGCAGAUGGAAAG